UACAGAGGGUGCGAGCGUUAAUCGGAAUUACUGGGCGUAAAGCGCGCGUAGGCGGCUUUGCAAGUCGGGUGUGAAAUCCCCAGGCUUAACCUGGGAACUGCAUUCGAGACUGCAUUGCUAGAGUAUGGGAGAGGGAAGUGGAAUUUCCGGUGUAGCGGUGAAAUUCGUAGAUAUUUAGGAAGAACACCAGUGGCGAAGGCGGCUCACUGGUCCGGUACUGACGCUGAGGUGCGAAAGCGUGGGGAGCGAACAGG
rnacentral:rRNA from 1 species